UGUUCAAGGCCGUGGUCCAGG
rnacentral:misc_RNA from 1 species